rnacentral:lncRNA from 1 species
UUAGGGUUCUGAAAACCCUAGCCGACGAGCAAGAAAGAGGGGGGCGCCGACAGGGUGAUGUAGCCACAAGUUUGGUCCCGGGUGAGAAGGAGAUGAACACAGGCGCCGAGCAAAGAGAUAAUGAAACCCUCGGUAGGUUAGGGUUUACCUCCGGGAAGCCCAGUUGUGGGUUCUGAAAACCCUAGCCGACGAGCAAGAAGGAGGGGGGCGUCGACGAGGUGAUGUAGCCGCGAUCGGGAGGCGUGAUGUAGCCGGAGAGGAGAGGGAGAGGCCGGAGGUGGAGGAGAGGAGAGGCCGGAGUUGGAGGAGAGGAGAGGAGAUGGGAAGCCGGAGGGGAGGCAAAAAUGGUCGGCAAGGGGGAGCCGGAGAGGAGAGGCCGGAGGCGGAGGAGAGGAGAGGAGAUGGGAAGCCGC